AUAGUUGGUGAAUAUGUCUUUGCAAUUUGCAAUUUGUGAUUACUUAUGUAGUUAUGGAUUUGUGAGCAUCCUUAUGACCUUAUCAAUGCCAUUUGUUGUUUUAAAAUUUUAUCCUCUAUUUAUUUCAGAUGUUCCCACUUUGAAAUGCUGAUCAUUUAGUACAUCUAUUAUCUAUAUGUUGAAGAAUUUGUUAAGAACCAUCUAUAUUAUCAGUACUCAAUAUGUGCUGUUAAUGUGUAUUUUGGGCUGAAAUUAGCCCUAUAUUUAAUUCUGAGCUGGAUUAACUUGCUAACUAGCUACUGGGCCGGUAAACUGGCUUGGCCAAUGGGAAAAAUGACUAAGGAGCAGCUUGUGUUGUUGCCUUCCAAUGAUUCCGUCGAUCUGAUGUUUUGCCUCCUAUGGUUGCAUCAAUUUGAUGAGUAGGCAUCAUGUUUCGCAUUCAAUCAUCCCUCCGCCAUGCGGUUGUACCAUCUUGUCUUCCCCAAACUUGCCAUGCCUUCUUGUUGCUCCUUGCCUCUAGCCGGACCUCCUACGAUCACAUGUUGCGAAUAGCCGGUUACUCCAGCAUUUGUGCACACGGAGCCUGGCUCUGUGGAGACGGUCCUCCCCCACGUUCCCAAGCCAAGACCUCUCCUUGCACAGAUGAAGCCAGGCUAAAGGACUUAAACAGGUCGUCUGGUUGAAACAGUUUGAAGAGUUUGACUGUUUGAGGACAAGUCUGCCGCCGUCGGAGAAGCCAGCGCUUGGUAGCCGUGAAUAUAAAGUAAUAAUCGAAGCAGAUCAGGAGCUGUGUGAUGGUGCUGUGAUGGAAAUGAUGUGGGGCAUAAAGAAUCCCAUGCACAGUUUAGUGCCUCAAGAACUAAAGGUGCUGACCAAGGAGGAGUGCCUUCCAAUGAGUAAAGGAAUGGAAAUGGUCCUGCACCGUCAUAAAUUUGAUGUCAAGCCAGAGAUGUUCAGGAUGGAGUCCUAUGAAGCUAGCAACUGCCCUGAAGAAGAUAUCUUGAGAUCCUACCUCAGAUGUUUUCAUCGGAUGAGUUUUCAAAGAUGAAGUUAGAUUCAAAUAAAUAUAAGAAUAAGGUCAUUAAGUACUCUAUCUCUGUAAUCUACAAAGAAUUAGUGCAUGCCUACAAAUGAAGCAGCCAAGCCGCUGAAUCAAGCUGAGCAUUGAGGGUUCUGCCGUGGAAGAGGUUGUCUUGUGAAUUGUGAUUCUGAUGGUUCAAACAAGUUGUGGUUUAUGUAUGCUCGUCUGGAUGGAGAGUAACCUUGAAGAAAUGAAGAGUUAUGGGUUUUUAUUAACCGUAUUGUCUAGGCAGACAGUUGCUGGCCUUUAUUUUGACUACCGUAACAUUAUUGAUUAGUAAUGAAUAUCGUGGUAUGCAACUCCUGCACCCAGGGAUUGCAUUUUCUUUUUUUUUUCAUUUAUAUCUACGGUAUGUAGUUCUAAUCAGCUGUGCACAAGUCUUGUCAUGAGCAUCAUGCC